GGUUUGGUGAUCAUAGAGCGAGCAAAACACCCGAUCCCAUCCCGAACUCGGCCGUUAAGUGCCGUAUCGCCAAUGGUACUGCGUCUUAAGACGUGGGAGAGUAGGUCGUCGCCAAACCU
rnacentral:rRNA from 1 species